rnacentral:rRNA from 1 species
GACAGAGGUGCCGAGCGUUAGGCGGAAUUACUGGGCGUAAAGCGUGCGCAGGCGGUUUUGUAAGUCAGAUGUGAAAUCCCCGGGCUUAACCUGGGAACUGCGUUUGAAACUACAAGGCUAGAGUGUGGCAGAGGGGGGUGGAAUUCCACGUGUAGCAGUGAAAUGCGUAGAGAUGUGGAGGAACACCGAUGGCGAAGGCAGCCCCCUGGGUUAACACUGACGCUCAGGCACGAAAGCGUGGGGAGCAAACAGG